UACGGAGGGGGCGAGCGUUGUCCGAAUUUAUUGGGCGUAAAGCGCGUGUAGGCGGAUACACAAGCCUGAGGUGAAAGGUUGGGGCUCAACCCCAUACAGUGCCUUGGGACUGUGUGUCUGGAGGCCGGCAGAGGAGAGUGGAAUUCCUGGUGUAGCGGUGGAAUGCGUAGAGAUCAGGAAGAACACCGGUGGCGAAGGCGGCCUGCUGGGACAGUGCUGACGCUGAGGCGCGACAGCGUGGGGAGCAAACAGG
rnacentral:rRNA from 1 species